AGCUGUAGAACAAACUGAUAAUGAAAAUAAAUAUUCAUCCGGAGUUGUUGCAGGAGUAGCUAUUGGCUGUAUCGUAAUAACCAUCGUAUUGAUGUUACUUGGAUUGUUUGCUGUUUUACGUUUGAGAAUAUAUAAACAGAGUCAGAGUGCAAAUCAAAGCAGCAAACCGGAGGAGUCAUAUGAUGACUUGACGAUAAACCAAACAACAGGUGCUUAUUCUGUAUACACCAACCAGAACAAUUAACACACAGUUAUAAGUAAAACCAACAACAGGCAAAGUAACGUACCAGGUGACACGUAUGACAACUUAGGACAAGAUUUCUACGAGAAUAUCUCUCAGAACUGAUGUUGUAUGUGAUAUGUCUUGUUCAAACAUUUUCCAAUUUGAUAUAUGCCUGAAAUGAAAAGAAAACUAACUUGCUGAAACAUAUGCUUAACACAUCGUUUACAGAAAUAAAAUCGUGGUGAAUAUUAAGUCGGAAAUAUGGUUCAUUAUGCAAACAGUAAUAAAAUUGCCUUUAAUAAAUUUGGAAGCUAUAUUAUUAUAAA